GGGGAUAACACUUAGAAAUAGGUGCUAAUACCGCAUAAGCGCACGGAGCUGCAUGGCUCAGUGUGAAAAACUCCGGUGGUGCAAGAUGGACCCGCGUCUGAUUAGCUUGUUGGCGGGGUAACGGCCCACCAAGGCGACGAUCAGUAGCCGGCCUGAGAGGGUGGACGGCCACAUUGGGACUGAGACACGGCCCAAACUCCUACGGGAGGCAGCAGUGGGGAAUAUUGGACAAUGGGGGGAACCCUGAUCCAGCGACGCCGCGUGAGUGAAGAAGUAUCUCGGUAUGUAAAGCUCUAUCAGCAGGGAAGAAAGAAAUGACGGUACCUGACCAAGAAGCCCCGGCUAACUACGUGCCAGCAGCCGCGGUAAUACGUAGGGGGCAAGCGUUAUCCGGAUUUACUGGGUGUAAAGGGAGCGUAGACGGUAAUGCAAGUCUGGAGUGAAAUGCAGGGGCUCAACCCCUGAACUGCUUUGGAAACUGUAUGACUGGAGUGCAGGAGAGGUAAGUGGAAUUCCUAGUGUAGCGGUGAAAUGCGUAGAUAUUAGGAGGAACACCAGUGGCGAAGGCGGCUUACUGGACUGUAACUGACGUUGAGGCUCGAAAGCGUGGGGAGCAAACAGGAUUAGAUACCCUAGUAGUCCACGCCGUAAACGAUGAU
rnacentral:rRNA from 1 species